UGGGGGGGGAAACCCAAAAGAUCGAAUGGGGAGAUUCAUCGUCAGCUCAUUUUGUAUAUGUAUAAGUUACGAUGCGGGUUACUACUUGUAGUAUUGCCUGCACGUUCUUGUAUAUUUUGUUGCAAGAUGUUGUCGGCGUGCACUUCUCCCCUAGUAGGACGUCGCGACCCGUUGGGUGUCGGUCUACGGCCCAAGUGAUAGCCUUUAAUGUAAUUUAAAAAUCAUUGAAGAUCCUUGGUGUUUUCUGACCGGCUACUUGGCGGUACUCGUACGGUAUUUAGCCGCUAAUUUAUUAGCGUCCAUGUCCGUCACAAGCGAGGCCAAUUUACUGAUAGUGCGGACCUAGUGCCGUCGUUAGUAUUGGCCAGCUGUUGGUUGUACGUGAUUCUGGGACUGGCUAAAAUUAUUUACCGGUCGGCGACGCUACUGCUUUGGGUACUUUCAGGACCCGUCUUGAAACACGGACCAAA
rnacentral:rRNA from 1 species